rnacentral:lncRNA from 1 species
AAAAAGUCACUUUCUAUCUUAGGAAACUAACAUUGCAUAUUAGUUGGGAACUAUAAUUAAUAAUAAGAAAGAAAAACUAUUCAUCAAAGACACGCCAUCCUAGUAUUUCAAUGAAGUCAAUAAGAAAGUUCAAGAAACCAGUUACUUUAUGGUAAGUAUGCAGAAAAUGCAAAAUAUGAAGGGCUGCUUAAGAAAUGAUGAGAAUGAAAGACAAUGGAGAUGAUACUCCCCCCAGCCAAAAAAAGAAAAAGAAAAAAAGAAAUGCAAGAUGAAUCAUCUCUUUGAAAAUACUUCUGUUGUGCUUUUAAAAACUGUGAAUUAGGGGUUAUGUUUACAUAACUAAAUCUUCCUCCAGAUAUCAAGGAGACAGAUAAAAAAAAAAAGAAAGCCUUCAAAUAGAACAAAGAGAUUGUUUCCUUACUACGGAGCCAGCAUCUUCAUACAAUCCUGACUUUUUAGAUGAAUAAUAAAUAACAAAGAAGCUGUUUAGAAAUGGCUACUGAUAUAUUUCCCUCAAAUCUGAAAAGGAUAAAACAUUAGCUAUAGGAUAGAACCUGUGUAUUUAACACGGGCUUUAUUAAAGACACCCACAGCAUUUUAUUCAAGGUGGAGAGAGAGGCAAAUUUGAGGGAGGAUUUCCUAAAUAUAUCGGGGUGGGGGAAAGGAAAUUACUUUGUUAAAGGAAUGAGCUUUAAGAAAUUGAUUUUUACUAAUGAUAAUAAAUAGAAAUGUUCUCAAGAAAGCAAGUUCAAAAGGUAAAUGAGUCCAGGAAAUCACAAUGCCAGUUUUGGAAAUUAUUCCAGCUGUAUUUUCUACUUGUAUAUAGAGAAUAGGAAAAAGAAAAAUAAACCAUCCAAACUCAGAGCUACAUAAUAAUGUGAAAUUUAAAUCUGCUAAAAUGGAAAUAGAAAAAGAACAAUCAGGAUAAAGGUACUUCAAAGAUAUACGUCUUGAAUACAAAACAGAGAAAUAUCCUUUCAGAUAUAUUUUGCAUUUAUGAAGAGAGAAAAUAAAGCAUCAAUACUUUUUUGGAGGUAAAUGGAAUAGAUACUAAAGACAGCAAUUAACAUGUAUAAUUCUUUGUAAUGUUUUAUUUACAUUUUAAUCUAGUUUUCCUUUAGUAACAGUAAUACAUGCAAUAUGGAAAAACAAACCUCUACCUUAACCGUUCCCUCUGGCUUCUCAUUAUCCUUCCAUAGGCAACCACUGUUGUCAGUCUUUGCUCAUGCUUUCAAAAUAGUCUCAAAGAUAUUUUAGGUAUACAUAAGAAUACAUGUAUAUGCAUAUGCAUUUUAGACAUCAGAAUGUAGCCCACCACAUACAGCAUUCUGAACACUGAUUUAAUUAGCAACAUAUCUUAAAAAUUUUAUAUAAGUACAUAUGCAGUGCUUGUAUUCUUGCUAACAGCUACAUGUAUAGGCAUACAUAUGCAAACCCAUGUAUAGUACCUGUGUAUCAUAGUUACUGUCAGCCUUAUAAUUACACAAUUCAAAUAACACAAUUGCUACGUCAGAGGGCAUGUGGAAUCUUAAUUUUGAUAAAUAUUUCUAACUGCUUAUAGUUGAACUUCAAAACACCAAGUACAACAGUGAUUAGCUCACUUUUCUCUAAGAGUAUGCCAUUAAAAUGCGAUUGUGUCUAAUGAAACUAUGAAAAAUGGCAUGAUUGUAAUGUUUUCUUUAUAAGAUCAAAUAUGCAUAUAUUUGAAAGCAGUUUAUAUUGACUUUGAAUUUAUCUGUCCAUAUCAUGUUUUUCAGUUGUAUUAAUGGAUAUAUGAUGUUGACAUUUCAAGUGUAUUUAACAAUUAGAUAAUGUAGCCUUUUUCAUAUGAGUUCAAAUAUAUUCCCAUUUUCAUGCAUUUCUUCAUCAGAUAUUUUAAAUGUAUUUGAAAUGAUCACUUUUAUAAUAUCUAGAUAUUGUCAGGUAUUUACUCCAAAUUAUAAAAUUAUCCAAUAUUUUUAGAACUUUGAUUUCUUGUGUUUAAAUUUGAUUCAUUUGGAAAUUUGAAAUGUAUAAGGAGGUAGAAAAGGAUGGAAUUUUACUUUAUUUCAAAUUUUAGUAAGCCCAAAUAAUUUUUGUUUUUUGAAGUUUAUUGACUGGCCUUUUUUAUGCAUUUUUAAGUUUCUAAAUCCCAAAAAAAUGUUUUUGGUAUCUUAUUAAGACCAUAAAAACUUACAUGUAAACUUAGGGGAAAUUAAACUCUUUAGUAUGUUUAAUAAUCCUAUCAAGAACAUGGCAGGAGUUCCCAUCGUGGCGCAGUGGUUAACGAAUCCGACUAAGAACCAUGAGGUUGCGGGUUCGGUCCCUGCCCUUGCUCAGUGGGUUAACGAUCCGGCGUUGCCGUGAGCUGUGGUGUAGGUUGCAGACNUUUAUCCUAUCAAGAACAUGGCAUGUUUUUCUAUAUGUUUACAUAAUUUGUAUCACAGGAUAGCACUUUUGUCUCAUUUUACGUUGUUUUUGUAGUUGAAAUAAUUAUAGAUUUAUGUGUAAAAAUAUUUUACCAGUUGGUAUUAUGUGAUUAUUUCAUCUUUACACUGAUGUAGUAGAUUACAUUACUUCUGAAUGUUAAAUCUGCCUUCUAUACCUAGACUAAUUCUGAGCUGAAGAGACUAACACAUCAUUGCAUUGUUGGAUUUUAUUUGCAAGUAUUUUGAGACUUUCUGCAUCUACGGUAAAGAAAGAUAAAGAUCUGUAGUUUUUUGGUAAUGAAUUUAUUUGCUUAGGUGUUAAUUGUUGCAUGAAAUUAUUUAGUAGAUAUAGCUCUAGUCAUCUCUGAUUUCUCCUUGUAUGAGUUUUGGGAGUUUGUGCUUUUAAUUGUUCUAUUUCAUCUAAGUCAUUACAUUUGCAGUCAUGGAGCUGUCUGUAUUAUGCUGUUAUCCUUUUAAGGUUCAUGGGAUUGGAAGUGAUGAUCCUCUCUCAUUUUUAAUGUUAGUAGUUUAUGUCUCUGUUUACUUGGUUAGAGUUUUUCAGUUUUACUCUCUUUUCAAAGAACUAGCUUUUGGUUUUGGUUUUAUUAUUAUUUGUUUUUAUUUUUUCCAAUUUCAUGUGUUCUACAUUGUUUAUUAUGUCUUUCCUUAUGCUGGCUUUCAACGUAAAAUUUCUCUUAUUGCUCUGAUUUCCUAAUAUGGAAGCCUAUUAAUGAUUUUGGAUCUCUUUUCUCAUAUAUGCAUUCAAUGAUAUAAAUUUCUAAGCUCUGUUUUUGUGGCAUCCCACCAAUGUUUACAGUUGUAUUUACAUUUCCAUUAAGUUUGAAAUAAUAUUCUCUUGAGAAUUUGAGUCAUUAUAUUAAAAUUAUGUUGUGUAAUGUACAAAUAUUUAGGGAUCUUCCAGCUAGCUUGCUGUUAUUGAUUUCUAGGUUAAAUCAAGUGUAUUCAGAGAAUAUGCUUCGUAUGAUUUCCGCUCUUUUAUAUUCACUGAGCUAUGUUUUAUGAUGCAGAAUGUGGUCUAUCAUGGCAAAUAUUCCACAUCAACUUGAGAAUAAGGUUGUACUUUGCUGUUUUGGGGUCAUGCUUUCUGAGUCAUUUUCAGACAGCAGGAAUUUUUGGUAGAAGUGAGAUCCUUUAUUCUUUGCUUCCCUCAAGCCAACCAAGAGCCACAAUGUAUGGUUGCUCCUCUAUAGUUUCUUUCGCCACACUUGCCUUUCUGCCUCACUGAGAAGAGUGCUUCCUUCAAAGUUCCUUGUCUAUGUAAUUCCUC